UGAACGCUGGCGGCGUGCCUAAUACAUGCAAGUCGAGCGAACAGACGAGGAGCUUGCUCCUUUGACGUUAGCGGCGGACGGGUGAGUAACACGUAGGUAACCUACCUAUAAGACUGGGAUAACUUCGGGAAACCGGAGCUAAUACCGGAUAAUAUUUCGAACCGCAUGGUUCGAUAGUGAAAGAUGGCUUUGCUAUCACUUAUAGAUGGACCUGCGCCGUAUUAGCUAGUUGGUAAGGUAACGGCUUACCAAGGCAACGAUACGUAGCCGACCUGAGAGGGUGAUCGGCCACACUGGAACUGAGACACGGUCCAGACUCCUACGGGAGGCAGCAGUAGGGAAUCUUCCGCAAUGGGCGAAAGCCUGACGGAGCAACGCCGCGUGAGUGAUGAAGGUCUUCGGAUCGUAAAACUCUGUUAUUAGGGAAGAACAAACGUGUAAGUAACUGUGCACGUCUUGACGGUACCUAAUCAGAAAGCCACGGCUAACUACGUG
rnacentral:rRNA from 1 species